ACUGGGAUUAUAAUCAGACUCCACUGACACUGACAGAGCAGUCUGAGACUCUCCAGGCUGGACUGGACUGCAUUGAUAUACUGAACUGAACUGAAAACUUAGUCACAGCACUGUCCCUCAGGAAAGAUACAAAGAUAUUAAACCUCAAACAUUCAAUAAACAGUUUAUGCAGGAAAUUCUAUGAUAAAGAGGAGAUCAAAAAUGACAUUUCAGUAAUAAACAAACAUAAUAGGGCAGAAGACACAGAGAGAUAAUGCUCUCUAAUAAUGCUCCAUAUGUGAGUAUGUAAGUGUAUUACGAUGUGUCUAUUUUGUAAAUGUCUGUAGAUGUUGUGUUAAUUGUAUUGUUGUGUCAUCACCGAUUUAUUCAUUGGUCAUGCCAAUAUAGCAUCUUGAAUUGAAACUGAAAUUGAGAGAGAGGAGAUCACAACCCCUCAGUCAUAAACACACACAACAGGACAGGAGACACAGGGAGAGAGAGGAGAUCACAGAGAACCCCUCAGUAAUAAACACACAACAACAGGACAGGAGACACAGGGAGAGAGAGGAGAUCACAGAGAACCCCUCAGUCAUAAACACACACAGCAGGACAGGAGAGAGAGGAGAUCACAGAGAAUCCCUCAGUCAUAAACACACAACAACAGGACAGGAGACACGGGGGAGAGAGGAGAUCACAGAGAACCCCUCAGUCAUAAACACACAACAACAGGACAGGAGACACAGGGAGAGAGAGGAGAUCACACAGAACCCCUCAGUCAUAAACACACACAACAGGACAGGAGACACAGGGAGAGAGAGGAGAUCACAGAGAAGCCCUCAGUAAUCCUACCGGAGCGGAACUUGUUCCGGAUGAGCAGGGAUCUCUCGGACGCCAGGAGAGUCAUGACGGACAGGCCUUGAGGAAGAACGAGGAAGAGGCGCAGUCGGAAACUGUAGAAGGACAGUCCUGAGGAGACCCCGGAGGAGUCUGUCCAGGAGGGGGCGCUGUCUGUCUCUCUGCAGCUGUCAGUCUCUCCUUCGGGACAGAAGAGGUGGACAGUGAGUGAUGGACAAUAGGAGGUGGACAGAGAGAGAGGUGGACAGUGGGUGACGGACACUGAUGAUGAUGAAGAUGACGUACAGCAGCCCAGGGCCGGAGCUGUGUCAGACUGGGAUAUUCCCGAGUCUUCCUCAGGAGACACGCCAGGCUAUUCCUCAGUAAAGACUCCUGACUCUUCCUCAGUACAGCCUCCAGACUCUUCCUCAGUACAGACUCCUGAAUCUUCCUCAGGAGAGACGCCAGGCUCUUCCUCAGUACAGACUCCUGACUCUUCCUCAG
rnacentral:lncRNA from 1 species